rnacentral:lncRNA from 1 species
UAAUAUUCGACCAAACGUCACGCAAAAACAAGGACCCUCGGCAGCUUAAAGCCAAAUGCUAAGAAAGCUCGAAACGUCCUCAGCGGUGGAAAAACACCAGUACCUUAACAAAAGACCUGGCCAACAGCCAGGCAGCAAGGAAAACAUGGUCAAAAGUCAAAAAAGCCAUGUCCACAUCAGGCAUCACAACACAACCAGAAAAAAUAUAACUACCAAGCCUGACAAAGACCUGAAAGACAAUCAGGCAUCAGGCACCAUAAAACCUCCGCUAGGAAGCGCCAAAGGUAUUAUAGACAACAAAAGAAAAUGACGCAUCAACACUCACUUAAGGAAUCAUAUCGCCGAAGGUAUCACAUCACCGAAGGUAUCAUAUCACCUUCAUAAAACCUCCGCCAAUAAGAUACGAAGGUGACUCAAGGUGCUGAAAGCAUCCAGAUACGCACAACCCUCACUCACAGAGGCCGAAGGUAAACCUAAGUGAUACUUGUAAAAAAAAUAUAAAAAACUUCAACAACCCCAAUGACACCAACAACCAAUCAUAAAUCAACAAUAAACUCUAACCUAACAACGUACAACUAAUCAAUGCAAGCAAGCCUAUAAAACCAGGCACACCACGACCCCCCAACUCUCAGUCAUGAUCAGUUCACUAAGAACCAAACAACCAGUGCGAGCCCAAAUCACACAAAGAAAAAAGUUAGGCCAGCAUGGAACCAGGAGUAAGCCUCAUAGCCACCCAAAAACAUGGUACCGCACAAAGCUUCGUAAGAUCAGAGCCACGACAUUGUGAUGAACAGCGACCACAGGGUCGUGUACAGCCACAGUAAAAGCACUGCAAAUUAGUAUCGGAGGUUACUGAAGGGUAUCGCAUGAAGUCUCGUAACAUCCCCCCGUAACCUCCGACAAACAAAGACGAAGGAUACCUAUGCCCAUGCUUCACGGGAGCCGAACAAUGGCAAAGAUGAGCUCAAUCCAGCAAAGACACCUUGGAAGCAAGUUAAGGAAUGGCGCUAAGGUCAAGUAGCAGCAAUCCUCCGCAUAACCAAGAUCUACCAACGCCU